UACGCCCGAUCUCGUCCGAUCUCGGAAGCUAAUCAGGGUCGGGCCUGGUUAGUACUUGGAUGGAAGACCGCCUGGGAAUACCAGGUGCUGUAAGCUG
rnacentral:rRNA from 1 species